AACGAACGCUGGCGGCAGGCCUAACACAUGCAAGUCGAGCGCGCCCUUCGGGGUGAGCGGCGGACGGGUGAGUAACGCGUGGGAACGUGCCCUUUUCUACGGAAUAGCCUCGGGAAACUGAGAGUAAUACCGUAUACGCUCUUUGGGGGAAAGAUUUAUCGGAAAAGGAUCGGCCCGCGUUGGAUUAGGUAGUUGGUGGGGUAAUGGCCUACCAAGCCGACGAUCCAUAGCUGGUUAGAGAGGAUGAUCAGCCACACUGGGACUGAGACACGGCCCAGACUCCUACGGGAGGCAGCAGUGGGGAAUCUUAGACAAUGGGGGCAACCCUGAUCUAGCCAUGCCGCGUGAGUGAUGAAGGCCUUAGGGUUGUAAAGCUCUUUCAGCUGGGAAGGUAAUGACGGUACCAGCAGAAGAAGCCCCGGCUAACUCCGUG
rnacentral:rRNA from 1 species